rnacentral:rRNA from 1 species
UACAGAGGUCUCAAGCGUUGUUCGGAUUCAUUGGGCGUAAAGGGUGUGUAGGUGGCGCGUUAAGUCGGGUGUGAAAUUUCGGAGCUUAACUCCGAAACUGCAUUCGAUACUGGCGUGCUUGAGGACUGGAGAGGAGACUGGAAUUUACGGUGUAGCAGUGAAAUGCGUAGAUAUCGUAAGGAAGACCAGUGGCGAAGGCGGGUCUCUGGACAGUUCCUGACGCUGAGGCACGAAGGUCAGGGGAGCAAACGGG